rnacentral:rRNA from 1 species
GACCUCAAAUCAGGUAGGGCUACCCGCUGAACUUAAGCAUAUCAAUAAGCGGAGGAAAAGAAACUAACAAGGAUUCCCCUAGUAACGGCGAGCGAACAGGGAAGAGCUCAAAUUUGAAAUCUGGCGUCCUCAGGGCGUCCGAGUUGUAAUCUAUAGAGAUGUUUUCCGUGCCGGACCGUGUCCAAGUCCCUUGGAACAGGGUAUCAGAGAGGGUGACAAUCCCGUACUCGACACGACGACCGGCGCUCUGUGAUACGUCUUCUACGAGUCGAGUUGUUUGGGAAUGCAGCUCAAAAUGGGUGGUGAGUUCCAUCUAAGGCUAAAUAUUGGCGAGAGACCGAUAGCGAACAAGUACCGUGAGGGAAAGAUGAAAAGCACUU